UUGAAUGGUUUGGUAACCAUCGAGCAAGAAAAGAGCCGGUAGAUGCAAGAAUAGCAGAAAUUGCUGAGCUUGAACCCAACCACAUCAUGGACGAACGCUACAGAUUUUCAAUUCUUGUCACUGAAGUUAUCCUAUCAAGUGACUGGUGGUACAAAAGUUGCAAAGACUGUCGAAAGAAAGUUCAAAUGGAAGGCGACACGUAUAAAUGCUCACGUUGCAUCACCACUGUUCCUAUGCCGAGAUACAAAAUAUCACUGAAUGCCAUCGAUGCGGACGCAAAAAGGCACGAAGACUCGCCAUUUGCUCGGUUCAUAUUUUGGGGCCAGCAGGGAGAAAUCCUCACAGGAAAGCAAGUACUGAUUUUAGUAGCAUAAGCCAACAGCAGGGCGGAGUAUACGCCACCCGAACUGACCGGUUUGGUUGGCAA